UACGUAGGUGACAAGCGUUGUCCGGAUUUACUGGGCGUAAAGAGCGCGCAGGCGGUCGUUCAAGUCGCGUGUGAAAGCCCCCGGCUCAACUGGGAGGGUCACGCGAUACUGAUCGACUCGAAGGCAGGAGAGGGUAGUGGAAUUCCCGGUGUAGGUGGUGAAAUGCGUAGAUAUCGGGAGGAACACCAGUGGCGAAGGCGACUACCUGGCCUGUUCUUGACGCUGAGGCGCGAAAGCCAGGGGAGCGAACGGG
rnacentral:rRNA from 1 species